CGGGUAAUCUUGUAAACCGCGUCGUGAUGGGGAUAGAUUAUUGCAAUUAUUAGUCUUCAACGAGGAAUGCCUAGUAAGCGCGAAUCAUCAGUUCGCGUUGAUUACGUCCCUGCCCUUUGUACACACCGCCCGUCGCUCCUACCGAUUGGGUGUGCUGGUGAAGUGUUCGGAUUGACCUUGACUGGGGCAACCUGGGCUUGGUUGAAAAGUUCAUUAAACCCUCCCACCUAGAGGAAGGAGAAGUCGUAACAAGGUUUCCGUAGGUGAACCUGCGGAAGGAUCAUUG
rnacentral:rRNA from 1 species